UACACAAAAAUGCACAUGCUGUGAGCUCGAUGAGUAGGGCGGGACACGUGGUAUCCUGUCUGAAUAUGGGGGGACCAUCCUCCAAGGCUAAAUACUCCUGACUGACCGAUAGUGAACCAGUACCGUGAGGGAAAGGCGAAAAGAACCCCGGCGAGGGGAGUGAAAAAGAACCUGAAACCGUGUACGUACAAGCAGUGGGAGCACGCUUAGGCGUGUGACUGCGUACCUUUUGUAUAAUGGGUCAGCGACUUAUAUUCUGUAGCAAGGUUAACCGAAUAGGGGAGCCGAAGGGAAACCGAGUCUUAACUGGGCGUUAAGUUGCAGGGUAUAGACCCGAAACCCGGUGAUCUAGCCAUGGGCAGGUUGAAGGUUGGGUAACACUAACUGGAGGACCGAACCGACUAAUGUUGAAAAAUUAGCGGAUGACUUGUGGCUGGGGGUGAAAGGCCAAUCAAACCGGGAGAUAGCUGGUUCUCCCCGAAAGCUAUUUAGGUAGCGCCUCGUGAAUUCAUCUCCGGGGGUAGAGCACUGUUUCGGCAAGGGGGUCAUCCCGACUUACCAACCCGAUGCAAACUGCGAAUACCGGAGAAUGUUAUCACGGGAGACACACGGCGGGUGCUAACGUCCGUCGUGAAGAGGGAAACAACCCAGACCGCCAGCUAAGGUCCCAAAGUCAUGGUUAAGUGGGAAACGAUGUGGGAAGGCCCAGACAGCCAGGAUGUUGGCUUAGAAGCAGCCAUCAUUUAAAGAAAGCGUAAUAGCUCACUGGUCGAGUCGGCCUGCGCGGAAGAUGUAACGGGGCUAAACCAUGCACCGAAGCUGCGGCAGCGACGCUUAUGCGUUGUUGGGUAGGGGAGCGUUCUGUAAGCCUGCGAAGGUGUGCUGUGAGGCAUGCUGGAGGUAUCAGAAGUGCGAAUGCUGACAUAAGUAACGAUAAAGCGGGUGAAAAGCCCGCUCGCCGGAAGACCAAGGGUUCCUGUCCAACGUUAAUCGGGGCAGGGUGAGUCGACCCCUAAGGCGAGGCCGAAAGGCGUAGUCGAUGGGAAACAGGUUAAUAUUCCUGUACUUGGUGUUACUGCGAAGGGGGGACGGAGAAGGCUAUGUUGGCCGGGCGACGGUUGUCCCGGUUUAAGCGUGUAGGCUGGUUUUCCAGGCAAAUCCGGAAAAUCAAGGCUGAGGCGUGAUGACGAGGCACUACGGUGCUGAAGCAACAAAUGCCCUGCUUCCAGGAAAAGCCUCUAAGCAUCAGGUAACAUCAAAUCGUACCCCAAACCGACACAGGUGGUCAGGUAGAGAAUACCAAGGCGCUUGAGAGAACUCGGGUGAAGGAACUAGGCAAAAUGGUGCCGUAACUUCGGGAGAAGGCACGCUGAUAUGUAGGUGAAGCGACUUGCUCGUGGAGCUGAAAUCAGUCGAAGAUACCAGCUGGCUGCAACUGUUUAUUAAAAACACAGCACUGUGCAAACACGAAAGUGGACGUAUACGGUGUGACGCCUGCCCGGUGC
rnacentral:rRNA from 1 species